UUUUAUGGAGAGUUUGAUCCUGGCUCAGGAUGAACGCUGGCGGCGUGCCUAAUACAUGCAAGUCGAGCGAACAGAUAAGGAGCUUGCUCCUUUGACGUUAGCGGCGGACGGGUGAGUAACACGUGGAUAACCUACCU
rnacentral:rRNA from 1 species